UAAACCUUCACUUCUUUAUAUCUCCUCUUAUCCUCCAGGCCCCAAGGGUGUAUCGCAACCAGAUGGUGAUCAGGUCCAGUCCCAUUUCAAGCCAACUCAGCACUGGAGUCAUCUUUGUGCCUGGAAGGCCACUUCCUCGAUGGGCAUCCCUAAAGACUGCGCCAAGUACAGCAUUUCAACAUCAAAAGCCCUGAAAAUAAAUACACAUAAGACUCCAAAAAUACACAAUAAUUGCUGAAGCCAAGGAGACUAGGAAGGUGUCCGACCCUCCAAUGCAGGAUUCUUAAGUUUGGGAUUGCCCCACACCUAUCAAAAUGGCCACAGCUGAAGCUGUUGGCAAUGUCCCAUUCCUUUUUACCUCAGCCUCCUGUAAAAUAGAGGCUACAACUUUCAUGGUUGCCACUUGAUGCACCUGAAUCCUUUUUAGCAGAUAUUUAUUACAUACAUGAAUACAGAUGUGUAUUCUUAAUCACCAUGUGUAAGGACUAAACUAUACAGUAGACAACCUCUGAACAUUACCCCUUCUUCAGAAUAUACAUACAUCAAACUGUA